rnacentral:rRNA from 1 species
GAUGAACGCUGGCGGCGUGCUUAACACAUGCAAGUCGAACGGAAAGGCUCCUGCUUGCAGGGGUACUCGAGUGGCGAACGGGUGAGUAACACGUGGGUGAUCUGCCCUGCACUUCGGGAUAAGCCUGGGAAACUGGGUCUAAUACCGGAUAGGACGAUGGUUUGGAUGCCAUUGUGGAAAGUUUUUUCGGUGUGGGAUGAGCUCGCGGCCUAUCAGCUUGUUGGUGGGGUAAUGGCCUACCAAGGCAUCGACGGGUAGCCGGCCUGAGAGGGUGUACGGCCACAUUGGGACUGAGAUACGGCCCAGACUCCUACGGGAGGCAGCAGUGGGGAAUAUUGCACAAUGGGCGCAAGCCUGAUGCAGCGACGCCGCGUGGGGGAUGACGGCCUUCGGGUUGUAAACUCCUUUCGCUAGGGACGAAGCGCAAGUGACGGUACCUGGAGAAGAAGCACCGGCUAACUACGUG